UAACCUGCCCAAGAGAUCGGGAUAACACCUGGAAACAGAUGCUAAUACCGGAUAACAACAGAUGAUGCCUAUCAACUGUUUAAAAGAUGGUUNUGCUAUCACUCUUGGAUGGACCUGCGGUGCAUUAGCUAGUUGGUAGGGUAACGGCCUACCAAGGCGAUGAUGCAUAGCCGAGUUGAGAGACUGAUCGGCCACAUUGGGACUGAGACACGGCCCAAACUCCUACGGGAGGCAGCAGC
rnacentral:rRNA from 1 species